rnacentral:rRNA from 1 species
GACAGGGGUGCCAAGCGUUAGGCGGAAUCACUGGGCUUAAAGCGUGUGUAGGUGGAUGUCUAAGUACCUUGUGAAAUCCCACGGCUCAACCGUGGAACUGCUGGGUAUACUGGAUGUCUUGAGCCAGCUAGGGGCUACCGGAACAAAUGGUGGAGCGGUGAAAUGCGUAGAUAUCAUUUGGAACGCCAAUGGUGAAAACAGGUAGCUGGGGCUGUGCUGACACUGAGACACGAAAGCCAGGGGAGCGAACGGG